CAACAGCAUCAAUUCAAACCCUAGUCUCCAAUUUCACCAGAGACCCAUGAAUUACUGCUUGACUCGGAUCCAAAAUCCAAACUAUAAAUCAGAAGCAUACCCAUUGCAUAAUAGCGCCACCAGCAUCUCCAAAUCAACUCGAAUCACUUCUUUGUUCUACCAAAUCUUCGAUUUAAUCAAACCCAUUAGUUAGUUCUCAUAAAUUCGUUCCCCUGAGUUUCAACCAUCUCUCUAAUCUCAACAGCAGCCAGUUAUCUUCAAUCUCCCGAUUCUCCCCUGAACUUCAUUCAACAACAACCCAGUUAUCUCGAUCAUCUUCUCGAAUCCACCUUGUGCUCGUUGAUCUCAGAUGGAGAAUCUCAGACAGCCGCCUCCAUUUACUCCUCUCUUUCUCAAUUUCAGAAGUAUCUCAUAUCUUCGAUCUGAUUCUCUCAACAAUAAUAGCUUCUUCUCUAUCUCCCCUGAGUUCAUUAUCAACAGCAGCCGCCUCUCUCUCUCAGUUUUAGACAGAUAUACAGUAAUGAUGAGAGAAAUGAUUUCUCUAUGAAUUUUAGGGCUCUGUAGGAAAUGAAAAUGGCUAUAGCCACCCUGGUAGAGUAGAUAAGGGCCAACCAAGAAUAUAUUUUCCUUGCUUCUCUAGACUAAGCUGCAAUGGUUGGCUUGGCUCGGCUCCGCUUCCAAUAGCAGUUGCACAUAAAAAUUGACGUUUUUUGUUCUUUUUGUUCCAAAUGGACGUUUUCUCCUUCUUUUGCUCAUAAUGACUCCAAAGUACCUAUUAAACUCAAAAGCAAACAUAAGAUACAUAAUUUACAAGAAAACUCACGAAGAAAGCAUAAACAAUAGGUAAAUAUCAAGGUGUUUACAACACCUAUGACGGUGAGGGAUUCGAUAAUAAAAUUUCUUGGGAGGGUAUCUUCAAAUUGACCAAAACUUUGUUCGGUUGAGAUCAGAUUAAGACGGAGUCUAUGCUUGUGGUGAAGGAUGGUCAUCUAAGCUAGAAGUUUAAUCUGAAGAAGUUGAAGGACGUAUUAUCUGGGACCAAUAAAAUCUAUAAUGAGGAAGGGUGGAUUUGGUCCGAAUCAAUGCUACUGCGUCAGCUUAUUUGCUAUACGUCCUGGGAAAAUGUAUCUUCCCCGACAGUUCCGGAAGCUUGGUCGACGUCAGGUUUGGAUAUAUGAGAACUUCCCUAUUUUAGUGAAAGCCAACUCCUACCUCAAAGUGGAUGAGAAUGUUGCGAUUGAUAAGCCAAGAGGACAAAGAUACAAUUUUAAGGAUGGUCAGGAUAAGGAAAUGCCGCGACAUCUUACCAAAAUCCGAAUCGCCAUUGACAAAUUGACUGCGGAUGAGGUAAUAUUUGAUCUGUAUCGAGAUGCUAGAAAUCAAGGUUUAAUCCAAAGGAGAGAUAAUGUUGUAUUAUACUACGGUCCCUUGUUUUUAACCCAUGGAUAUUCAAUGUACGAUCCACAUCGGGUAAUGCGACAAUUGGGUUACAUCCAAGAAGAACCCCAUUUCGAUGCUGAGCCGGACUUUAAAUUGGUAAGGGAGGACUGCAGCACGUGCCAAAAAAGUAUUGUCGUCACUUACGCUCCAACGCCAGUUAGCGAUCAUUGGAACGGAAGACGUGGCCGUAAAGUCGAUACGAGUUUGUCAUGAAGCUCAUGAGAGAUACAUGACGUGGUACUUGGGUUGGGCUCGUCCUACUAUGAUUAGGGAAAUGACUACUGAAGAAUUGGCUCGUAAGAGGAAGACGACAUUGAAAGACCCAUCAACAAGUUUUAAGUUCUUUAAGGAGCAUUUGAAGAGCCUUGUGAGGGUGAUGUGCUGCACGAGAGAAAGAGGAGAGCCUUUGUCGAUUGCACAUUGACUUUGCUAGCAAUGUUGACAAUAAGGAUGCCUAUGAAUUGUUCAAGCAAGAUGAUGCUGAAGUAAAGAGGGAAGAAAAAUCCAGGAGGGAAGCACAAGCCAAGAUGAAUGCUGACAAAAAGAGGGGUCGUUCCGUGGUGGUGAAUGUAGUAGUAGUGGUGGUGGUACUAAACGGGGUCGUGUUCGUGGCCGUGGCGGUGAAUGAAUGCAUUCCUAAUUUAUUUCUUUAUGUUGUGGUAGACAAAUGUUAAGGUUAAUGGUUGGACAAAUGUUUUUUUAAGGUUUA